CCUACGGGUGGCAGCAGUGGGGAAUAUUGGACAAUGGGGGGAACCCUGAUCCAGCGACGCCGCGUGAGUGAAGAAGUAUUUCGGUAUUUAAAGCUCUAUCAGCAGGGAAGAAAGAAAUGACGGGACCUGACUAAGAAGCCCCGGAUAACGACGUGCCAGCAGCCGCGGUAAUACGUAGGGGGCAAGCGUUAUCCGGAUUUACUGGGUGUAAAGGGAGCGUAGACGGCGAUUCAAGUCUGAUGGUAAAGGUGGGGGCCCAACCCCUGGACUGCUUUGGAAACUGUAUGGCGUGAGUGCAGGAGAGGUAAGUGGAAUUCCUAGUGUAGCGGUGAAAUGCGUAGAUAUUAGGAGGAACACCAGUGGCGAAGGCGGCUUACUGGACUGUAACUGACGUUGAGGCUCGAAAGCGUGGGGAGCAAACAGGAUUAGAUACCCUAGUAGUC
rnacentral:rRNA from 1 species